AAAAAUAUUAAAUUAUUUUACGAACUUAUUUGUUUAAAAUUUGGUUAUAGAUAGAUAUUUGAAUAUUCGGUAUAUUUUGCUUCAGUUUAAGAAAUCUUUGAUGACCCGUUUUUAGAUCGACUAAGCCCUAUAAUUAAGACAUGAAUAUUGUCGUUAAAUGAUUUUGGUAACCUUAAUGACGUCAUUAAAAGAUUUGUUUUUGAUU
rnacentral:sRNA from 1 species